rnacentral:rRNA from 1 species
GGGACCCGUCUUGAAACACGGACCAAGGAGUCUAGCAUGUGCGCGAGUCAUUGGGACUCUGAUGAAACCUAAAGGCGUAAUGAAAGUGAAGGUCCGCCCUGCGCGGACCGAGGGAGGAUGGGUGGACCCGAGGGGCCGCCCCGCACUCCCGGGGCGUCUCGUUCUCAUCGCGAGAAGAGGCGCACCCAGAGCGUACACGCUGGGACCCGAAAGAUGGUGAACUAUGCCUGGUCAGGACGAAGUCAGGGGAAACCCUGAUGGAGGUCCGUAGCGAUUCUGACGUGCAAAUCGAUCGUCGGAACUGGGUAUAGGGGCGAAAGACUAAUCGAACCAUCUAGUAGCUGGUUCCCUCCGAAGUUUCCCUCAGGAUAGCUGGCGCUCGCUUCUUGCGAGUCUCAUUCGGUAAAGCGAAUGAUUAGAGGCAUUGGGGUCGAAACGGCCUCAACCUAUUCUCAAACUUUAAAUGGGUGAGAUCUCCGGCUUGCUUGAACUGUGAAGCCGCGAGAUAUCGGAUCAGAGUGCCAAGUGGGCCACUUUUGGUAAGCAGAACUGGCGCUGUGGGAUGAACCAAACGCCGAGUUAAAGCGCCUAAAUCGACGCUUAUGGGAUACCAUGAAAGGCGUUGGUAACUUAAGACAGCAGGACGGUGGCCAUGGAAGUCGGAAUCCGCUAAGGAGUGUGUAAA